rnacentral:rRNA from 1 species
AAAUUACUUAGUGGCGGACGGGCGAGUAACACGUGAGCAACCUGCCUCUACAGGGGGAAUAACAACGGGAAACCGUUGCUAAUACCGCAUAACAUGUUGAAAGGGCAUCCUUUUUUAACAUCAAAGGAGCAAUCCGGUAAGAGAUGGCUCGCGUCCGAUUAGCUAGUUGGUAGGGUAACGGCCCCUACCCAAGGCGACGAUCGGUAGCCGGGACUGAGAGGUCGAACGGCCGCAUUGGGACUGAGACACGGCCCAGACUCCUACGGGAGGCAGCAGUGGGGAAUAUUGGGCAAUGGGCGAAAGCCUGACCCAGCAACGCCGCGUGAGUGAUGAAGGCCUUCGGGUUGUAAAACUCUUUGGACAGGGGACGAAGAAAGUGACGGUACCUGUAGAACAAGCCACGGCUAACUACGUGCCAGCAGCCGCGGUAAU